UCAGCUUUGUGAAGUCUGCUCUAUGGAAACACUUGCUGCUAUCGCCCAUCUGAAACCUUUCUAGCAGCAGACACAGAGGGCAGAAGCAAGAGAAACAAGCUCACUGAUGAAAACACCAAAGAAGACUGGACCUAACCCUCAUCCCUAUGGCACACCUUUGGAUAAGCACCUCCUAGAAGAGUUCCUAUCAACAUCAUAGUGAUGAAGGACUGCUGUCUUGAGGUUUGCAUACCUAUUAGAGCUAAUGACUUCACCUUAUUUUGCAAUGAACACCAUGGGGAGAACCUACCAACCUCACCAAAAAAAAAUUGAAAGAAGGAACAGCACACGGUCACUCAGGACGGCUUUGUGUUUAGUAGGCACACCAAGUUCAUCUGCUUAUGGUGUUUUAUCCCAUUUCUCUUUCUACUUUCUGUCUCAGUUUUAUCUGCACACUGUUAAUUUUUUUAAACAUUCUCUCACCUUGUUGGCUGCAUUUCAAGAAUAGGUGGCAUGAGUCAACUGCAAUGAGUGGACUAGCAUAAAAUGUUGUAAGAUACUUCCCUCAAGUGGAAGGAAUAAAAAUCACUCAGCUGUGUGUCA